rnacentral:rRNA from 1 species
AUUGAACGCUGGCGGCAGGCCUAACACAUGCAAGUCGAGCGAGCGGCGGACGGGUGGGUAAUGUAUGGGGAUCUGCCCGAUAGAGGGGGAUAGCUAAUGGAAGCGGUGGCUACUACCGCAUACUAUCGGAUGAACCCAUAGGGGAUUAGCUAGUAGGUGGGGUAAAGGCUCACCUAGGCGACGAUCUCUAGCUGGUCUGAGAGGAUGAUCAGCCACACUGGAACUGAGACACGGCCCAGACUCCUACGGGAGGCAGCAGUGGGGAAUAUUGCACAAUGGGCGAAAGCCUGAUGCAGCCAUGCCGCGUGUAUGAAGAAGGCUUUAGGGUUGUAAAGCACUGUCAGCGGGGAGGCGUUACCUGCAGAGAAAGCAACGGCUAACUCCGUGCCAGCAGCCGCGGUAAUUC